UUAAAAUAAAAAUUAUGCGCGGCAAAAUUCCCCUCUUCCCUCUCCUUUUCCUUCUCCAAAGGGCACGAUUUUCCUUAUCCAUAAUUCUUUAGUUCAACUCCCGUUUUUCAUCGUCUUCUCUACAUCAAGGCAAAAGUGCAAUCGGGAUAGUAAAGUUCUGGCAUGUUUGACUUAAAAGAGUUGUGCUUGGUUGGAGGAAAAGCUGCAUGGAUGGCCUACCUGAAUUUGGUUGAGGAGAAGAAUAAGAAAGUGAAGGAGUUGUAAGAUAACAUUGCUGCAGUCAAUUUUACCCCACAAAGCAAAAUGGGAAAGAUGUUAAUGGCUAAAUGUAGGACACUGCAGGAGGAAAAUGAAGAGAUCGGAAACCAGGUUAAAGAAGGAAAGGUAGUAAAUGAUUUUCUUGCUGAGCGAAGUGUAUAAAAUAUGCUCUUUCCUAUCUUGUUCUCGUCCCUGCCAAGUACUCUUUCAGUCUUCUUUUUCUUUGAUUGCUAUUACAUUUAGCUUGGUUUUUGGUUGGAUCAGUGCAUUUUACAAUUCAAACAACAAUUUUACAUCCCAAUUCGAAUUGGCUUUUCC